rnacentral:rRNA from 1 species
GACGAACGCUGGCGGCGUGCUUAACACAUGCAAGUCGAACGGAAAGGCCCUGCUUUUGUGGGGUGCUCGAGUGGCGAACGGGUGAGUAACACGUGAGUAACCUGCCCUUGACUUUGGGAUAACUUCAGGAAACUGGGGCUAAUACCGGAUAGGAGCUCCUGCUGCAUGGUGGGGGUUGGAAAGAUUCGGCGGUUGGGGAUGGACUCGCGGCUUAUCAGCUUGUUGGUGGGGUAGUGGCUUACCAAGGCUUUGACGGGUAGCCGGCCUGAGAGGGUGACCGGCCACAUUGGGACUGAGAUACGGCCCAGAAUCCUACGGGAGGCAGCAGUGGAGAAUAUUGCACAAUGGGCGGAAGCCUGAUACAGCCACGCCGCGUGCGGGAUAACGGCCUUCGGGUUGUAAACCGAUUUCGCCUGUGACGAGGCGAGAGUGACGGUAAUGGGUCAGAAAGCACCGGCUAACUACGUG